GACGAACGCUGGUGGCGUGCUUAACACAUGCAAGUCGAACGGGAUUUAGUAAACAGCAGCCUCGGUGGAAGAUUACUAAUGAGAGUGGCGAACGGGUGAUUAACGCGUGAGCAACCUGCCUAUGACAGUGGGAUAGCCUCGGGACACCGGGAUUAAUACCGCAUAAAAUCGUAGAAACACAUGUUUUAACGGUCAAAGAUUUAUCGGUCAUAGAUGGGCUCGCGUCUGAUUAGCUAGUUGGUGAGAUAACAGCCCACCAAGGCGACGAUCAGUAGCCGGUCUGAGAGGAUGAACGGCCACAUUGGAACUGAGACACGGUCCAGACUCCUACGGGAGGCAGCAGUGGGGAAUAUUGCACAAUGGGGGAAAGCCUGAUGCAGCGACGCCGCGUGAACGAAGAAGGUAUUCGGAUCGUAAAGUUCUGUCCUAUGGGAAGAUAAUGACAGUACCAUAGAAGAAAGCUCCGGCUAAAUACGUG
rnacentral:rRNA from 1 species